rnacentral:rRNA from 1 species
AACGAACGCUGGCGGCAGGCUUAACACAUGCAAGUCGAACGCGUGUAGCAAUACACGAGUGGCGCACGGGUGAGUAACGCGUGGAUAUCUGCCUUUUGGUUCGGAAUAACCCCGGGAAACUGGGGCUAAUACCGGAUGGUUCCUUCGGGAUAAAGAUUUAUCGCCAAAAGAUGAGUCCGCGUCCGAUUAGCUAGUUGGUGAGGUAAUGGCUCACCAAGGCGACGAUCGGUAGCUGGUCUGAGAGGACGAGCAGCCACACUGGGACUGAGACACGGCCCAGACUCCUGCGGGAGGCAGCAGUGGGGAAUAUUGGACAAUGGGGGCAACCCUGAUCCAGCCAUGCCGCGUGAGUGAUGAAGGCCUUCGGGUUGUAAAGCUCUUUUGGCGGGGACGAUGAUGACGGUACCCGCAGAAUAAGCCCCGGCUAACUUCGUGCCAGCCGCCGCUGUAACAC